ACAUCCUUCUUCAGUAGUUUUUCCUUUAAUUGGGCUCACCUGGCCAACUAAUUAUCACAGGUGUCUGAGAUUGAUUUCAGUGAUCCAAAGAACCCUGAGACACAAUACCAUCCAUGAGUUUAAUUGAAAAACAAAAAAUUUAAUCUUUAUGACACUUAAAUACAAUUUGCAUAAUAAUUUGGAACGCGGUGUAUGGUUAUUUGUUCAUACUUAUUCAUGUUCUGUCCUCUGCUUUUUUAACACAGGCCAAAGAGGAAAUAACGUACAGUGUUGUUAAGAAAAAGAGAAAAACUCCAGCCCAGGCACAAGAGGAUGUAACAUACAGCGAUGUAAAGCACAAGAAAAAAACUCCAGCCCAGGCACAAGAGGAUGUAACAUACAGCAAUGUAAAGCACAAGAGAAAAACUCCAGACGAGAGGUCGGAUGCUAAGAGUGAUGUGGACGUGACGUACAGCUCUGUGGUUAUUGUUGAACAACAAACUAAGGGUACAUUUUAAGAAUUUCUCAUGCACUGUACACAGUGAAGCUUUUUUCCCACAUUUUUUUCAUAGCCACACUGGCACCGUGGCUAUGUGGAUGGUGAUGUCAGUCUGUCGGUCAGUAAGUCCAUCCCUUUGGUUCAGCCUGAAAUAUCACAACAGGUAUUGGGUGAAUUAUUAUUAAAUUUGGCACAGACAUUUCUGGUAACCAAUGGGAUGAAUUUAAACAACUGUGGUGAUCCCUUAAUGUUUUGUUUGGCACCAUCAACAGGUCAGAUUCUUAAUUUCUUAUUAAUGACCAAAUACCUGCAAACAUAAUGAUAUUCCCAUCAGCCUUAGCUUGCUUUGUGUAUUGUGCUAAUUCCCAAAUAUCAGUAUGUUAACAUGCUAAACUAAGAUGAUGAACAUUCACAGUCCUGCAUUUAAAUAUUGUCAUUAUUGGCAUGUCAGCAUGCUAAAGUUAGCAUUAAGACAUACUACUUCGUCAUAAUAUUGCACCCUGACCUUUGACCGUCUUGCUCAUACAUGUGUUACCUUGGAGAUAAAAGAAAACGGCAUUCACAGACCUCGGCAGAGACGCAGGUCAAACCAGAGAGCUUUGAUCUUGUUGCUUUUCAAUAUAUGUAGUUUAAAUUUUUAUGUAAUAACUGCGUACAGUGUAGAUUCUAACAUGCAAUAUCAUAAUCACAACAGUAAACCUGUAUAUGCAUUUCUCUGUCUUUAUUUCCAUAGUUAUGUCCUGUUGUUGUUGGUUAUCUUUAUGAUGAUUUUGUUAACUUAAAAAAAUAAUAUUAUUAUUAUUAUUAUUAUUAUUAGUAGUAGUAGUAGUAUUAGACUGGUCAUCAGUCACUUGUAUUCGCUGUCAUCUGACACUGGGGCUUCUGACAGCUGUCAAUUAGCUGUCAACGAGCUCUAAUCGCCGAGAUUUAAUAUCCAAUUAGCAGUCAGAAAGGGAAUUGGGUGGAAGAGUGGAAGUCAGCUUGGUGGAUAGAUAGAGCUGGGUAUCAUCGUCAUAGCUGUGGAAUUGAAUACCACAUUUUUUGAAGAUUUGGCCAAGAGGUAGACAGUAGAUAAUAAAUAAAAGGGGACCUAAGACAGAGCCCUGAGGAACACCUCUAGUAACUGGAGAAGAGUUAGAUUUGAAAUUUCUUAUUUGAGCAAAGUGAGUGUGGCCAGAGAGAUAUGAUUUAAACCAGUCAAGAGCGGUGCCAGUGAUACCAAUGGUAACUAGUCUCUCUAGAGGGGUGUUAUGUGAAAUGGUUUCAAAGGCUGCACUUAGAUCAAGAAGAAUGAGAAUAGUUAAAAGCCCAGAGUCAGCUGCCACUGAGGGAUCAUUAGUGAUUUCUUACCAAAGCUGUCUCAGUACUGUGAAAGGAGUGAAAACUAGACUAAAAUUGUUCAGACAGAUUGUUGUGAUUAAGGUGAAUGUGGACCUGAGCUGCCACUGAGCUUUCAUGUAUUUUAGAGAGGAACAGUAAAUUUGAAAUUGGUCGUAAAUUGUUCAAGUUGUUAGGAUCAAAUUAUCAUUAUUAUUAUUAUUAUUAUUAUUAUUAUUUGGUCAUCAGUCACUUGAAUUCGCUGUCAUCUGUCACUGCGACUUCUGACAGCUGUCAAUGAGCUCAGUCGAUGUGAUGUAUCUCAUGCUGCGCAGAGGAUUGUGGGUCAGAAUAGUCAGAAAAGAAUGCUGGCUUGUGUAGUGCAUAAUGUGACCAGAUAUAAUACAACAUCCUGGUAUUUUUGGCAUACUGCAUUUGACAUAUUAUGUAUUGGCACAUACUAAUUCUUUUUUGGGCAUUCUAAGUAGUAUGUAUGGGUAUUGAAAUGCAAAGUAAGUCUGAUUUAGUGUUGAUUUAGAUUUUUCUUCUUGACUGUCAUUUUUUUCUUCUGUUCUGCAACACGUUGAAGCAAAGAUGAGGAUGUAACAUAUAGCAGCUCAGCAACAACAAAACCUGUAAAUGUUACCAAAUGUUGCCCCGACCCCACAUCUUAUCUGUCUGUCUAUCACUGGACUCUUUUUUUCUAGAUGAUUGUGUUGUCUGUUCUGUGGUUCUGCAGUAGCUUCUUCUUUUUUUGUUUUGAGGAUUUACACCUUUUUUCUCAUCAUCUUCUUCAUGGCUGCAAAAUAUUUGGCACAAAAACCCCUUACCAAAAACUAUAAUGAUGAUAAAAUCCAUCUUACAAUCCUUCUUAAGCUGAAGAGGGUCCAAAAGUGUUGACAGAAAUGAUCCAGAAAUACAGAAUACAGAAAUGUCUGCUACUGUUUAAAUUAUAUGAAACAAGAAAAUAAAGUUAAACUGUAUACACACAAAUCAA